rnacentral:ncRNA from 2 species
CUGAUGAAAGUGAAGUCUGGUGAGAUUCCAGCACUGUCGCGCAACGGUUAUAGUCCGAUCCUUUAUCAG